rfam:Schistosoma rodhaini strain Burundi genome assembly, scaffold: SROB_scaffold0000406
AGUGCUGAGGAGUCCCAUAAUAGGACGAAACGGCCGUCCAGUGU